rnacentral:misc_RNA from 1 species
UUUCCGUAGGUGAACCUGCGGAAGGAUCAUUGCACACACGAUGCAGCAAACUAGCGAACUGUGUUUGUCCCCCACCUACCCCAAACACGAGGGGCCGCAUCUGGAGGUGCGGCUGUCGACGGCAAGGUCCCGACCUUCGGGUCCCCGCAUUGGUUCCCGCAAGCGGGCUGAUCAUGUCGCCGUCUGGGUGUCCCGCGCGUGCUCUCGCCUUGCCUUAGGGUUGGGCGACGCGGGCAUUCUCCUCCCUUCGAUGGCGUCGUCCCCUCCUCCGGGAGAGCGACACGCCUCGAGGGCCGUGUACAACUUUGCACCAUGUACAACACCAGUGACGGAGUAUACCUGUGUCCCGGUUCCGCUGCUGCCGUCGGGUGGUGCGGGAUUGGUCAAUAGGAACGAGAGUAAAUAAAAACAACUCUCAGCAACGGAUAUCUUGGCUCUU